GAACUGAAGAGUUUGAUCAUGGCUCAGAUUGAACGCUGGCGGCAGGCCUAACACAUGCAAGUCGAGCGGAUGAAGGGAGCUUGCUCCUGGAUUCAGCGGCGGACGGGUGAGUAAUGCCUAGGAAUCUGCCUGGUAGUGGGGGAUAACGUCCGGAAACGGGCGCUAAUACCGCAUACGUCCUGAGGGAGAAAGUGGGGGAUCUUCGGACCUCACGCUAUCAGAUGAGCCUAGGUCGGAUUAGCUAGUUGGUGGGGUAAAGGCCUACCAAGGCGACGAUCCGUAACUGGUCUGAGAGGAUGAUCAGUCACACUGGAACUGAGACACGGUCCAGACUCCUACGGGAGGCAGCAGUGGGGAAUAUUGGACAAUGGGCGAAAGCCUGAUCCAGCCAUGCCGCGUGUGUGAAGAAGGUCUUCGGAUUGUAAAGCACUUUAAGUUGGGAGGAAGGGCAGUAAGUUAAUACCUUGCUGUUUUGACGUUACCAACAGAAUAAGCACCGGCUAACUUCGUGCCAGCAGCCGCGGUAAUACGAAGGGUGCAAGCGUUAAUCGGAAUUACUGGGCGUAAAGCGCGCGUAGGUGGUUCAGCAAGUUGGAUGUGAAAUCCCCGGGCU
rnacentral:rRNA from 1 species